rnacentral:rRNA from 1 species
UUACCACACCUAAAAAACUUUCCACGUGAACCGUAUCAACCCACUUAGUUGGGGGCUAGUCCCGGCGGCUGGCUGUCGAUGUCAAAGUUGACGGCUGCUGCUGUGUGUCGGGCCCUAUCAUGGCGAGCGUUUGGGUCCCUCUCGGGGGAACUGAGCCAGUAGCCCUUAUUUUUUAAACCCAUUCUUGAAUACUGAAUAUACUGUGGGGACGAAAGUCUCUGCUUUUAACUAGAUAGCAACUUUCAGCAGUGGAUGUCUAGGCUCGCACAUCGAUGAAGAACGCUGCGAACUGCGAUACGUAAUGCGAAUUGCAGGAUUCAGUGAGUCAUCGAAAUUUUGAACGCAUAUUGCACUUCCGGGUUAGUCCUGGGAGUAUGCCUGUAUCAGUGUCCGUACAUCAAACUUGGCUCUCUUCCUUCCGUGUAGUCGGUGGAUGGGGACGCCAGACGUGAGGUGUCUUGCGGGUGGUCUUCGGGCUGCCUGCGAGUCCCUUGAAAUGUACUGAACUGUACUUCUCUUUGCUCGAAAAGCGUGACGUUGUUGGUUGUGGAGGCUGCCUGUGUGGCCAGUCGGCGACCGGUUUGUCUGCUGCGGCGUUUAAUGGAGGAGUGUUCGAUUCGCGGUAUGGUUGGCUUCGGCUGAACAAUGCGCUUAUUGGACGUUCUUCCUGCUGUGGCGGUACGGAUCG